AACUUAAUUUUAUCAAUUUAUGAUCAUUUUAGCCUAGAUUUUGUCCACGUAAGUUUAAUUUAACUCUUCAAUUCAAUUAUGGCCCAAUUUUAGAUAUCUUAUAAAUUUAAACCUCAGCCAUAGAUCAAAUUGAUCAAUGGAUGAGAUUGAUUCUCCAUCUUUUUUCUUUUUAAAAUACCAAAAACCAAACCCUAACCAUUUUUUUACCAACAACCACUUUCUUCUCUCUCCCUAUGCUCUUCUUUCUCUCUCUAAACUCCACCAUUACAACCGCCCAUUUCUUCUUCUCCGGCUAACCGCACCGUUGAUGCUGCCACUACUCCGACAUCUCUCCUCUCCCUCACCCCACCGGCAAAUCCACCAGUUGAACCAAAGUUAAGGUCAUAACAUAACAGGUGUCCCUAUACCUGGUUUUCUUGUGAAAAUGACCACAAUUGUGGAUGUAGUGAGCCAUCUUCUUAACUUUCCCGAAGCCAUUGAGAGGCUAGGAAUUCGAUUGCGGUCAAAUGAGAGCAGUGAAAACAAGGGUAACAUUCCAGUGGACAUUCUUGAUACCCCAAAAGAGUACAUUUUCCACAUGGAUGUUCCUGGUUUAUCCAAAUCUGACAUUCAGAAAGAAACAAGAAGUAUUAACUGCUCAAAGUGCAUCAAUUAUGGAAGGAGGAUGAGAAAGGAAUUGGACUUGUUGAUGAAGCAUGUAUACAAGAAUUCAUCUUCAAAUGAUGAACACCUAUCUCAAGAAGACAACCAAGCUUAUGAGAAUGAAAGUGAUUCUGACCCUGAUGGUUGAUAGUUUUAUUGAGGAUUCAAGUUUAAAAUAUUUUGUUUUGGACCAUUUAAGAAUCAUACAUUAUUGAUGUGGAUGUUAUGAAUUAUAUUUUUUGUUAGCUAUAAUGGUUUACAUAGACUUGUAUUGAAUGAUGUUUUAUUGAGAAUUAUUGGAGGUUUUGAAUAGAUUUUUGACUAAUUGUGAAAUGUUUCUAGUAA